rnacentral:rRNA from 1 species
UGUCUUCUAAAUAAAGACCCGUAUGAAUGGCUAAAUGAAUAUUUAACUGUCUCCUUUAGCAAAUCAGUGAAACUGAUCUCCCAGUACAAAAGCUGGAAUUCAAUUAUAAGACGAGAAGACCCUGUGGAGCUUUAAAUUUUAAUCAAAACAUUAAUGAAACAAACGUUAAUGACUACAAAUUUUAAGUUGGGGCGACUUCGGAGAAAAACAAAACCCCCGAGAAUAAGGCUACGCUAAACAAGGACAACAAGCCAAAACAAAUAUAGACCCAGUACUACUGAACAACGAACCAAGUUACCCCAGGGAUAACAGCGCCAUCUUCUUCAAGAGUUCAUAUCGACAAGAAGGUUUACGACCUCGAUGUUGGAUCAGGACACCCAAAUGGUGCAGCCGCUAUUAAAGGUUCGUUUGUUCAACGAUUAACAGU